CCUCCACUGAGAGGUUUAAAUCUGGAUCCAGUCCCUGUAUUCUAAAGGCGCUGGUUUUCAUGCUGUGCUCUGAAGAAUUCAUGGAAGCUUAUCAGGGACUCCUUCAGAAGAAUGUCAAUUUAUAUUUAUAUAUUACAGGUUAUUGAAUGGGUUCUGCCAAUUUAUUUACAGCCCUCUCUGGCUGGUUGGGUGUGUACCUGCAGUGCACAAUGUGCUCCAUUCCUCACUCCAUGUACUGUAUUGUGUCCAAGUUUCUCUGAUGGCCACUAAGUUACAGGAACUCCUUAAUUGCCACCUUAUCAUUCCAUCAUCCGUAUCCCAGUGUGAUUGACACAGAAAUCAGGGUGGGGGAGCCAGGAACAAAAUUUAAGAUCUGCAGCAGCAGUUAGGCUGGCAGGAGAGGAGACGAGACCAACCAAGUUUUGUCUAGGCACUGACUUGAGUGGAAUUCAAAGAAGACAGAAAGCAAGAUUGUGGCCCGGCGCUGAAGUUCUGGAAAGAAUGGGGAGGAAAUAAUUUCUCUGCAAGGAAGAUAGACUCUCAGCUGAGAUUUGCAACCAUCAUGGCCCUGCCAUCCACUUUGCCUUAUGACCGAGUAAUGGUGAACAUGGAACGGGAGGAGGUUUCUCUGGAGCGCACCAAAUCCCAGCUGGAUCCCCGCCUUGUGAGCACUACCACCGGUGGCGUAGAGGCCUCCUUCCACAACUGCCUCCUUCCUUUUGGGCUGCUGUCCAGCAUCAUUGGGCUAGUAACCACGAGCGUAGCUUGUGCCAACAGUCCCCUUGACUCUGUCCUGGCUGUCUUAGGCGGAGUCCUGCUGGCUACUGGGCUUCUCGGAGUGGCCGCCAGCUGCCUAUGGCAGCAAUACAGGAGGAGGAAGCGAUGCAGCAGCUGGACCAUCCUGAUGGGCGAAACGGAAGCAAAGAAACCAGUUAUCUGAAGAUCCAGAACCAGAUCUGGAACUAGACCCAGGAUAGGUUAACCUAGGACCAAAGCUAGCCCUUGGGCAAAGCUCAUUUCAAACUAAUCGACUAAUUUCAGAA